UCGAAUACGCCUUCGGUUUAAUACGUAUCUAGAUAUUAAAAUUCAGUAAUAAGCUUUAUCUCGUUCUUAUCGAGCGAGUAUAUCACGCGUCCUUGAGCAGUUGCACUCGCGAAAUCAUACCCUUCGCGAUAUCCACCACGAAAUUUCAUUUGACAGCUCUAUGGAUUAUUCAUAUUCCUCGGAGGAAUCGUACGAACAAUGACGUCAGACGCGUUGAAUACGACAGAAGCCGAAAUAUCGCGCGAGAAAUUUCUGACAAAAGAGGAGAGAUGCAAACGAUUGCAACGAUCAGUCUUGCAUAUACUUCCGAAAAUAAAUCCGUUGAUAUCGAGCAAAAAUCAAUGAUAUGUCAAGAAAUUCAUGCUCGUGGCAGCAUGAAAUAUAACGAAACGGGAAAAGCUGGAAUAAAAGAAGACAGUACGUGGGAAAAGUAAGUAGAGACAGCUUAGACCGAACGGAACGCCAAGAUACGGCUCGAUUCUAAAUUUGGUUGAACCACGAGAGAAAUGCAGACACACGAGUUGGGAAGAACUCUGGCAGUUACGCAGAGAAAAAGCCAGUGUAGAGGGGCAAGGUGUACUCGAACAGACCGUUCAUUGUUUGCAAUGGACCGCCUGUAUAUACGACUCGUUCUAAUUCCCUUCCUGUUUACGUUGUUCCACGACUAACUACUGUAGCCUGCUCUUUUCUGCUUGCCAGUUAAACGCGUUAGGUCAUACCUCGGAAGUAAUGUCGUUUCGGAAACCCAUUUCAAUGAAAAGAUAAUAGCAGUAAUAUAACUAAACCGUAUACAUUUAUGAAAAUUAUACGUUUACGAGCAGUGUGAGGGUUCCUGGAUGCAUCGAGUAAAACAUGGUACGAACAUGAUACAGACACUGCAACGCGGAUAGAUGUACACGAUGUUAACGGUUUACGUGCAACUCUGGAUCGCCACGGGUCAUAACUUUGAAUCGGAGGAGCGCAGGUGUCGCCGGAAGUCGUUUUACGAGCGAACGGAAACGUAAAUCGGAGUACGACCUUCGUCACGGGCCGGAGGAAACUGAAUACACGCUACACAUGACGGUGCCCAUCGAACAGUACUUAUUAUUUAUACGUCUCGAUCAAUUUUUACUAGAAGCGUCUGUGACAUAACCAAAGUUAUAUAGAAAAAAAGUGACAUUUACGAUGCAAAAAUUGUUGUUUCAUCUUCUUUUUAUUAAAAAUGAGAAUUUCAUUUCUCGCAUCUUUUGUUCAUAUUGGAAAAAAGAGUUUCAAGUAUCUGUAUAAGGUAGUAUUUACGGAUAUUAUUCCACACAGAAAUAUCGCAGUGUUUUUACGUAAUAAUAAAAGAAGAUCAGGUUCGAAUGUAAACAAGCUAAUUUGCCUAUGAUGUGCAAAAGUGCACUUGAUUUUUAAAUUAAGAACAUCUAAAUUACAAAA